ensembl:snRNA U6 U6 spliceosomal RNA
AUGCUCACUUCAGGAGCACAUAUACUGAAACUAGAAUGAUACGAAGAUUAGCAUGGCCCCUGUGCAGGAUGACACCGAUUUGUGAAGUGCUCCAUAUUUUC